GUCAGGAUGGCCGAGCGGUCAAAGGCGCUGCGUUCAUGUCGAAUCGGUUUUGGCGUGGGUUCGAAUCCCACUUCUGAUA